UGGGGAAUAUUGCACAAUGGGCGCAAGCCUGAUGCAGCCAUGCCGCGUGUGUGAAGAAGGCCUUCGGGUUGUAAAGCACUUUCAGCGGGGAGGAAGGCGUUAAGGUUAAUAACCUUUGCUCAUUGACGUUACCCGCAGAAGAAGCACCGGCUAACUCCGUGCCAGCAGCCGCGGUAAUACGGAGGGUGCAAGCGUUAAUCGGAAUUACUGGGCGUAAAGCGCACGCAGGCGGUUUGUUAAGUCAGAUGUGAAAUCCCCGGGCUCAACCUGGGAACUGCAUCUGAUACUGGCAAGCUUGAGUCUCGUAGAGGGGGGUAGAAUUCCAGGUGUAGCGGUGAACUGCGUAGAGAUCUGGAGGAAUACCGGUUGCGAAGGCGGCCCCCUGGACGAAGACUGACGCUCGGGUACGAAAGCGUGGGGAGCAAACAGG
rnacentral:rRNA from 1 species